ensembl:snRNA U6 U6 spliceosomal RNA
AUGCUCACUUUGGCAACAUAGAUACUAAAAUUGGAACGAUACAGAGACAAGCAUGGCCCCUGAGCAAGGAUGACAUGCAAAUUCAUGAAGCAUUCCAUAUUUCU